rnacentral:rRNA from 1 species
GCGGUAGGGGGUUCGUGGAGGACGGAAGGUCCCCCUACGACUGGUACUGAGGACCACGGACCAGACGUCCUACGGAAGGCAGCAG